AUGAUUUCAACACUUACCACACACAUUAUUAAUCCCUUAGCAUUCAUUAUUCCUGUUCUCCUAGCCGUUGCCUUCUUAACCCUGAUUGAACGAAAGGUCUUGGGCUACAUGCAACUCCGAAAAGGUCCUAACAUUGUCGGACCCUACGGCCUACUUCAACCCAUCGCCGAUGGAGUGAAAUUAUUUAUUAAAGAACCCAUCCGACCAUCCACUUCUUCCCCCCUCCUCUUUCUUAUAACCCCCAUACUAGCCCUUACUUUGGCCCUCACCCUCUGAACCCCAAUACCCCUCCCAUACCCAGUAGCCGACCUAAACCUGGGAAUUUUAUUUAUCCUAGCGCUGUCCAGCCUCGCAGUAUACUCAAUCCUCGGCUCAGGCUGAGCAUCCAACUCAAAAUACGCACUAAUCGGAGCCCUUCGAGCCGUAGCCCAAACUAUUUCAUAUGAAGUAAGCCUAGGACUUAUCCUCCUAUGCACCAUCAUCUUUACAGGGGGCUUUACCCUUCAAACAUUUAGCACUGCCCAAGAAGGCAUUUGACUGAUCCUCCCCGCCAUACCACUAGCUGCCAUAUGGUACAUUUCCACACUAGCAGAGACAAACCGCGCCCCGUUCGACCUCACUGAAGGAGAAUCAGAACUUGUCUCAGGCUUUAACGUAGAAUAUGCAGGAGGACCAUUCGCCCUAUUUUUCCUGGCAGAAUAUGCCAACAUUCUGCUGAUAAACACACUCUCCGCAACCCUAUUCCUUGGGGCUACACACCUGCCCACCAUCCCCGAACUCACCACCAUCAACCUGAUAACAAAAACAGCACUACUAUCCGUACUAUUCUUAUGAGUCCGAGCCUCUUACCCUCGCUUCCGAUAUGAUCAGCUUAUGCACCUAAUCUGAAAAAAUUUUCUUCCCCUCACACUAGCCCUGGUAAUUUGACACCUGGCACUCCCUAUCGCAUUCACUGGCAUCCCACCCCAACUAUAACACGGAGCUGUGCCCGAAGUUUAAGGACCACUUUGAUAGAGUGAAUUAUGGGGGUUAAAGUCCCCUCAACUCCUUCUAGAAAGAGGGGACUCGAACCCCAUCCAAAGAGAUCAAAACUCUUCGUGCUUCCACUACACCACCUUCUAGUAUAGUCAGCUAAUUAAAGCUGUUGGGCCCAUACCCCAAAAAUGAAGGUUAGAAUCCCUCCUACACUAAUGAACCCAUAUGUCCUAAUUACCCUCUUAUUUGGACUAGGCCUAGGAACCACCAUUACAUUUACAAGUUCACACUGACUACUCGCCUGAAUAGGACUAGAAAUUAAUACUCUAGCCAUUAUUCCCCUGAUAACCCAACACCACCACCCCCGAGCCGUUGAAGCAACAACCAAAUACUUCCUCACUCAGGCCACCGCCGCAGCCAUACUUCUUUUUGCAAGCACUACCAAUGCUUGACUCACCGGACAAUGAGAAAUCCAACAAAUAACACAUCCCUUCCCAACAACCAUAAUCAUUCUCGCCCUAGCACUAAAAGUAGGCCUAGCCCCCAUACACUCCUGACUCCCCGAAGUAUUACAAGGACUUAGCCUCACUACCGGGCUUAUCCUAUCCACUUGACAAAAAUUAGCCCCAUUUGCCCUCCUCCUGCAAAUCCAACCCGCCGAUCCCUUCAUCCUCAUUACAUUGGGCCUGACCUCAACUCUAGUCGGCGGCUGAGGAGGACUUAACCAAACACAACUACGAAAAAUCCUUGCUUACUCUUCAAUCGCUCACCUGGGCUGAAUGAUACUCAUCCUCCAAUUCUCCCCGACCAUCACACUUCUUACCCUAAUUACAUAUCUCCUGAUAACCACCUCAACAUUCCUUGUCUUCAAACUAAACAAAGCAACAAACAUUGCCACACUAGCCAUCUCAUGAACUAAGACCCCCGCCCUAACAUCCCUCACCCCCCUAAUUCUCCUCUCACUCGGAGGCCUCCCCCCACUAACCGGAUUUAUGCCCAAAUGACUUAUCCUUCAAGAACUUACCAAACAAGACCUAUCAACACUAGCGACACUAACCGCACUCACUGCCCUCCUCAGCCUAUUCUUUUAUCUACGCCUAUCUUAUGCAAUAGCCCUUACCCUGUCCCCAAAUAAUGCCACCGGAACCACUCCCUGACGACUCUCAUCCACCCAAUCUAACCUGCCACUAGCCCUCUCAACUACCACCUCAAUCCUUCUCCUCCCCCUCGCCCCCGCCGCAAUAGCCCUUUUCACCCCCUAAGGUGACUUAGGUUAAUAUCCAGACCAAGGGCCUUCAAAGCCCUAAGCGGAAGUGAAAAUCCUCCAGUCCCCGAUAGAGCCUGCGAGACACUAACUCACAUCUUCUGCAUGCAAAACAGACGCUUUAAUUAAGCUAAAGCCCUCCUAGAUAGGCAGGCCUUGAUCCUACAAACUCUUAGUUAACAGCUAAGCGCUCAAGCCAGCGAGCAUCCAUCUAACUUUCCCCCGCCUAAACAACUAAAGGCGGGGGAAAGCCCCGGCAGACGCUAAUCUGCUUCUCUAGGUUUGCAACCUAGCAUGAUUAUACACCUCGGAACUUGGUAAGAAGAGGAAUUGAACCUCUGUCUACGGGGCUACAACCCACCGCUUAAAACUCAGCCAUCCUACCUGUGGCAAUCACACGUUGAUUUUUCUCUACCAAUCAUAAAGACAUCGGCACCCUUUAUCUAGUAUUUGGUGCUUGAGCCGGAAUAGUGGGCACCGCUCUUAGCUUGCUCAUCCGAGCAGAACUUAGUCAGCCCGGCUCACUCCUGGGGGAUGACCAAAUCUAUAACGUAAUCGUCACCGCCCACGCUUUCGUGAUAAUUUUCUUUAUAGUAAUGCCAAUCAUGAUCGGAGGCUUCGGAAACUGACUAGUCCCCUUAAUAAUUGGAGCACCAGACAUGGCAUUUCCCCGAAUGAACAAUAUAAGCUUCUGACUUCUCCCCCCUUCUUUCCUCCUUCUCCUGGCUUCUUCUGGGGUAGAGGCUGGAGCUGGGACCGGUUGGACUGUAUACCCUCCCCUUGCUAGCAACCUCGCUCACGCUGGAGCAUCCGUCGAUCUGACCAUCUUUUCUCUCCACUUAGCGGGUGUCUCCUCAAUUCUUGGAGCCAUUAACUUUAUCACGACCAUUAUUAACAUAAAACCCGCUACCGUCUCCAUAUAUCAAAUCCCCCUAUUCGUCUGAGCAGUCUUGAUUACAGCCGUUCUUCUUCUACUCUCCCUCCCAGUCCUAGCCGCCGGUAUCACCAUGCUUCUUACAGAUCGUAACCUAAACACAGCAUUCUUCGAUCCUGCCGGAGGGGGAGACCCGAUUCUCUAUCAACAUCUGUUCUGGUUCUUCGGCCACCCGGAGGUGUACAUUCUUAUCCUCCCCGGCUUUGGAAUAAUUUCACAUGUCGUAGCCUACUACUGUGGGAAAAAAGAACCCUUCGGAUACAUGGGCAUAGUCUGAGCUAUAAUAGCUAUUGGCCUCUUAGGAUUUAUCGUAUGGGCCCACCAUAUGUUCACCGUAGGGAUGGACGUUGACACACGCGCCUACUUUACAUCCGCAACUAUGAUUAUUGCCAUCCCAACUGGCGUAAAAGUCUUCAGCUGACUUGCAACAAUCCACGGCGGAAACAUUAAAUGAGACACCCCAAUGCUCUGAGCUCUCGGAUUCAUCUUCCUAUUCACAGUCGGAGGCCUGACUGGUAUUAUCCUGGCCAACUCUUCCCUAGACAUCGUUCUCCACGACACAUACUACGUAGUUGCCCACUUCCACUACGUCCUGUCUAUGGGGGCCGUAUUCGCAAUUGUUGCCGGCUUUGUCCACUGAUUCCCUCUAUUUACAGGUUACACCCUGCACAGCACAUGAACAAAAAUCCACUUCGGAAUCAUAUUCGCAGGGGUAAACUUAACUUUCUUCCCUCAGCACUUCCUAGGACUAGCCGGAAUGCCUCGACGAUACUCAGACUACCCGGAUGCCUACGCCCUAUGAAACACUAUGUCCUCCAUUGGGUCUCUAGUAUCCCUUGUAGCCGUUAUUUUAUUCUUGUUCAUUAUCUGAGAAGCAUUCACUGCCAAACGUGGAGUCUUAGCAGUAGAAUUCACCGCCACAAACAUAGAAUGACUUCACGGCUGUCCUCCCCCCUAUCACACAUUCGAACAACCUGCCUUUGUCCAAGCUCGAAAUAACUAACGAGAAAGGGAGGAAUUGAACCCCCAUAGAUUGGUUUCAAGCCAACCACAUAACCGCUCUGUCACUUCCUUAUAA